rnacentral:lncRNA from 1 species
CAAUCAGAAAACACAUUUAAAAUAUAUUCAACUAACUCAUUGAUAUACCAAUUAGAAAACAGAUUUAAAAUAUAUUCAACUAACAUCCAAACUCAGUUUAUUACAAUAUUCCACACAAUCACAAUAUAACCAUACAAUAUUCCACCAAUCACAAUACAACACAUAAAACGCUCAACAAGUAUAGGAACGUCUCCAACACCUUAUAGUGCCUUCAACCUGCAAAACAUCAACAUCCAUCCACAUAUUAACCAUUGAGUUGAGAUCAAUUCACCCCUUGACGGAAAUAAGAAUAUGCGCUCAUGUAUGAACAAAACUAAAAUAAACAAACUUUGAGGCCAUAGCAUGUGCUACAAAAAUGUUAACAAUUUUUUUAAUAAUUUGUGGUAGCUUGUUCAAAUUCUACUGCAAGGAUUUCAGAUAUGUAUGUAUACUCAAAGUUUCAUAGAUAUUUGUGUGCAAAAUUAAUCUCCCGGUUUCAGAUACGUGUGUAUGCAAACUUAAUCGAUUCCUGGUGCUACUCCUAGUGCACACUUAUUAGAUAUACAGAAAUCAUGGUUAAAAUUCACAUGUACAUGUCCUGGUCCAGUCAAUCACUUACCUUCGUGAUUGCAUCCAUGUCAUGAAGCAGGACAUGGCUGAAUUGGCCUUCACUCACACCAACCAUGUAUAUGAGAAUGAUCAGUCAGCCAAUGAGGUCCAUUGAUUGCACAAGAUGAAAAGAACAUCCUGAAUUUGGGCACAUAUAUACCUAUAGAAAUAGCAGCAUCUCAAUCACUGUAUAAUCAGCAAGCACACAUAGCAGCAGUAAUAAGAACUCUCUGAAUCACAAACACUAAUCAGCACCCCUCUAUGCCAAUCUAUCUCCAACGGAUGAAACAACAAUAUCUCACUCAUCUCAGACGAAUCCUCUCCCAUCUCCCUCUCUCUGAAUCUCAUAUCACCUGAAGCAUAACAUGAGCUCGUUAAUAGACCAACCAAUUUCAUGUUUUUUCUAAUAAAAAGGAAGAGCCAAACUGUAUCUUAUCAUAUGAGGAGAAGAAAAAUAUAAGGGGUCAUACUUAUUCUGCGCCUAUUACGCUGGACCACACCACAUCUUCCAACAUGCUAUCCAAGACUAGCACUAGAAGAUGAAACACACAUAAUGUGUGUGAUGAACAACGGGUUUUAAGGCCAAACACACAUCAGGACGCUGAUAUAAGCCGACGGUACAUUCCCCACGGAGGAGGGAAACUGAGGAAUAAGCCAGCAGCCCCCUCACCUCCAGUACAAGGCUGUUCUCCGGAGAUAUAUGAGAAAGGCAAGCAUCGCGACCCUGCCAUUUACUCGAAGCUACGGGACACACACAGGAUAAAUAAAGAGAAAAACCAACAUCCCCUUUCUUUGCUCCCUUGAGCGUUGGCACAUAAUAAUGCGCUUGAUUGGGACAUGGGUUAACUGAAAUGUUGUGACGUGGUAAUUCCAUGAUGGAGGAAGUACUAGCUAGUACUCCCUCAGUUCCUAAAUAUAUGUCUUUUUAGAGGUUCCACUAGUGGGCUAUAUAUGGUUAUAUAUAGACAUACUUUAGAGUGUAUAUUCAUUCAUUUUACUCCGUAUGUAGACCCCUAGUGAAAUCUUUUAAAAGACUUAUAUUUAGGAACGGAGGGAGUACAUACACACAUGUCACACCGAGACAGAAUCCCCACACCCGCUCUGUUUACCGAAUGGAGGGAGGAAGUGACGAGAUCCCCUGUCCAUCCCUGUUGAGGGCUCAGCACCAUGCAGCACGGGCGGACCUAACGAGGCUCGCAGGUUGGGUUCAAGAUUCCGAGGGUACGGCUGGGUAGGGUUAGCAUGUCGCACCGCUAGAAGUAAAAGAAACAAAACAAGAGGGAAAAAAUAACGGAGAAGGAAGGGAGCAUAUCGGAUGAACCAGCCCAACGGAUGAAGAAGCAGCAAGCAAAUAUAGAGGCAUCUCCCUCUUGGCUCUCUCCCCACCCCCAAAUCGAGCCCACCGUCGCUCCCGUCAUCCCCUUCAACAGCGGCAAUGAGUCUGGGACACAUGUCCAUCCCGCUCGGCUCUCUCCCCACCGCAGGGGAUACAUCGCAUCCCCGUGUGCAGCCCCGGCGACCGUGGCACGCCCUCUAUCUACAUCCUGGCAGUGUCGCCUCUCCCUCCUCCAACUUUCUAUGCUUUGCUCGAUCUAAGAGAAAAUCAAGGGUAGGACGGACCUGUGAUGCGGAGGACAUGACGUGGUGACGGGAACGAUCUGCCCGGAGGUGGAGGCGGGAAUGAUCUGCUAUUUGUACUCCUUGAGACGCGCCUUGAGCUCAUGGUCCUCCUCCGACUGCGAAAGGCUUGAAACACGAGUCACGCGACCACACCCGUAAGAGAGAGGAUGAGUGGCGCCCCCGCCCCAUGGGAAGAAAGCAGAGGAAGAGAAGGGGGGAAGCUCUGGGGUCGUCGUUGCUCACCGGGUUGUCCCCCUUCGUCUUCCCCUUUCCCUUGGCCGGCUGUGGCAGGGCGUGGGAGGCGGCAUGAACUCUGUCGCCGCCACUAGCAUCCUCGUGCGACGAGGGAGAGCAGAUUAGGAUUUGGAUCUCCGUCUGGAUCGGGGGAGGAUAGGGACUGAGGGAGGAGGCGGCGGAAGGAAGUUAAACGAGGGAGCAGAGGGUGUCGUGCACUGCGUUUAGGUUUAGCUAUAUGAGAGGCGAGUGAGAGGCGAGUGAGAGACGUUGGAUCCGCAG